rnacentral:rRNA from 1 species
GACGAACGCUGGCGGCGUGCUUAACACAUGCAAGUCGAACGGAAAGGCCCUGCUUGCAGGGUACUCGAGUGGCGAACGGGUGAGUAACACGUGGGUGAUCUGCCCUGCACUUCGGGAUAAGCCUGGGAAACUGGGUCUAAUACCGGAUAGGAGCCAUUUUUAGUGUGAUGGUUGGAAAGUUUUUUCGGUGUAGGAUGAGCUCGCGGCCUAUCAGCUUGUUGGUGGGGUAAUGGCCUACCAAGGCGGCGACGGGUAGCCGGCCUGAGAGGGUGGACGGCCACAUUGGGACUGAGAUACGGCCCAGACUCCUACGGGAGGCAGCAGUGGGGAAUAUUGCACAAUGGGCGCAAGCCUGACGCAGCGACGCCGCGUGGGGGAUGACGGCCUUCGGGUUGUAAACUCCCUUCGCUAGGGACGAAGCUUUUUGUGACGGUACCUAGAUAAGAAGCACCGGCUAACUACGUG